GAUGAACGCUGGCGGCGUGCCUAAUACAUGCAAGUCGAGCGAACGGGCGAUAAGCUUGUUUUGCGGAUGUUAGCGGCGGACGGGUGAGUAACGCGAGUAUAAUCUACCUAUAAUUCUGGUAUAACUUCGGGAAACGGGCGCUUAUACGGGAGAAUAUUUUGCACCGCGGUGUGCAAUAGUGAAAUACGGUGUUGCGGUCACUUAUAGAUGGAUCCGCGCUGCAUUAUAUAGUUGGUAAGGUAACGGCUUACCAAGGCGACGAUGCAUAGCCGACGUGAGAGGCUGAUCGGCCACCCGGGAGCUGGGACACGGUCAAUACGACUGAGGGACGGCGCAGUCGGGAAUGUUCCGCAAUGGGCGAGAGCCUGACGGAGCGAGGGCGCGUGAGUGAUAACGGUCUUCCGAGCGUGAAACUCUGCUAUGAGGGAAAAACCUAUGUGUAAGUAGAUGAGGACAGCGUGACGGUACCUGAUCAGAAAGCAACGGCUAACUACGUG
rnacentral:rRNA from 1 species